GGAAAACUGCCGGAGGCUCAGGGUACGUUAAUGACAAGGUAUUCUGGACUCGAAGUGUAUCGAUACACGAUUCACACAUACACUCUCAACUAUUACGUGUUGGCUUUGAUAGAGUGCAGUAAUUGCAUAGCAGUUGAGAACAAAAAAUAUUCUAUGACUCUAUGUGUGGUACUGGAUUGCCGGAGCGUUCGGUCAUCGAAAUCCAAGCUCGAAUCUCCCUCGAAUUCUGUAAACCUAUCCCACAAAUUAUCUUUCCACCGAUUCCCGAGAGAUGCGGCCAUUCGGAAGAAAUUGCUCCGAUUUUUUGGACAGGACCAAAGCACCAACACGAAUAAUAUGUACAUUUGCUCGCUUCAUUUUAGUCCGGAUUGUUUCAUGUAUAUCGAUGGCUUGGAAGUACAAUAUCGUCGAAAAUUGAUUCCCACAGCUGUUCCUUCUAUCAGGAAGGCCGAAAAUAAGAAGCCCUCGAGACAGCAUAAGCGAAAAGCCUUGAUUGACAUCAAACAACAGCUGAAUCAUAACAAAAAAAAACGUAUCUGCUGCUGAAAAGUUCCAUUUUUCUAUUGGGACGCAACUUAACUAUUCGGAUAAAGUACUACAUCGAAGAACCAACGAGAGCUUCAGGAAGCUAAAAAACGAAUUACCGAACUCGAAAAAGCCAACAAAGAUUUACAGCUAGUCAAUAAACAGCAAACAUUGCUUGAAUCCAAGGCCAUUCUAUCAAAACGAUACACAAAAAACCAAAUCGACAUCAUGCUUGAUCAAAAAAAGAAAGUCAAGCAAUGGUCUGCCGAGGAAUUAGCGAUGGGAUUUACCCUCAACUAUUUGAGAAAGCCUGCACUCAAGUUUAUUAGCCAAACAUGCCAUUUUCCCUUACCAUCAGCAAAAUGUCUACACGAUUAUGCCGCUAAAAUCAAUAUAACUGCUUAAAAUAAUUGGUUUC